rnacentral:rRNA from 1 species
GACGAACGCUGGCGGCGCGCCUAACACAUGCAAGUCGAACGAGCGAGCGAGAGCUUGCUUUCUUGAGCGAGUGGCGAACGGGUGAGUAACGCGUGAGGAACCUGCCUCAAAGAGGGGGACAACAGUUGGAAACGACUGCUAAUACCGCAUAAGCCCACGGUGCCGCAUGGCACAGAGGGAAAAGGAGCAAUCCGCUUUGAGAUGGCCUCGCGUCCGAUUAGCUAGUUGGUGAGGUAACGGCCCACCAAGGCGACGAUCGGUAGCCGGACUGAGAGGUUGAACGGACACAGUGGGACUGAGACACGGCACAGACUCCUACGGGAGGCAGCAGUGGGGAAUAGUGCACAAUGGGGGAAACCCUGAUGCAGCGACGCCGCGUGGAGGAAGAAGGUCUUCGGAUUGUAAACUCCUGUUGUCGGGGAAGAUAAUGACGGUACCCAACAAGGAAGUGACGGCUAACUACGUG